rnacentral:rRNA from 1 species
UACGGGGGGGGCAAGCGUUGUUCGGAAUUACUGGGCGUAAAGGGUUCGUAGGUGGCCAACUAAGUCAGACGUGAAAUCCCUCAGCUUAACUGGGGAACUGCGUCUGAUACUGGUAGGCUUGAGUGCAGGAGAGGAACGCGGAAUUCCAGGUGUAGCGGUGAAAUGCGUAGAUAUCUGGAGGAACACCGGUGGCGAAGGCGGCGUUCUGGACUGCAACUGACACUGAGGAACGAAAGCCAGGGGAGCAAACGGG